rnacentral:rRNA from 1 species
GAUGAACGCUGGCUGCGUGCCUAAUACAUGCAAGUCGAGCGAACGGACGAGAAGCUUGCUUCUCUGAUGUUAGCGGCGGACGGGUGAGUAACACGUGGGUAACCUACCUAUCAGACUGUGAUAACUUCGGGAAACCGGAGCUAAUUCCUGAUUCUUUUUUGAACCGCAUGGUUCCAAAGUGAAAGACGGUCUUUCUGUCACUUAUAGUUGGGUCCGCGCUGCAUUAGAUAGUUGGGAAGGUAACGGCUUACCAAGGCAACGAUGCAUAGCCGACCUGAGAGGGGGAUAGGCCACCCUAGAAUGGAGACGAGGCCCAGACCAAUAAGGGAGGGAGCGGUAGGGAAACUAACGCAAGGGGAGAAAGGCUGACGGAGAAAAGCCGAGUGAGGGAUGAAGGGAUGCGGAUAGUAAAACUAUGUUAUUAGGGAAGAACAUAUGUGUAAGUAACUGGGCACAUAUUGACGGUACCGAAUCAGAAAGCCACGGCUAACUACGUG